AAUUUAGUUGAAAUUAAACUUAAACAAAUUGAAUUCUAAAGUUUUCUAAGCCAUUCUUCUUCAAAAUUUCGUCCAAACAGCCUGGGAGAUAGAGUUUCAAUUGGUUUUGUAUAUUUUUGCUGCAUGUUUCUGUUCAGCACUUACAAGCUUCCGUUCAACCCUUAUGGGUUUCUGUUUAGCUCUCAUGAGCUUCUGUUUAGCCAUCGGGCUUCUGAAAAUGAUGUACUCUUAUUCGUAAGCCGUUCUUCAAUUUGGGAAGAUUUGAUUUUCGUGGGGUCGGAAGAUCAGAUGAGCACAUCAAGACACACUAUCCAGCUUGUUCCGGUAGUUUUUGAAGCGUUCAACAUGGUUUAUAUGGCAUGUAUAGGGAUUGAUGUGGAUUAGAUCAAAGUUGGUUUGUAUAAAUGUUAUGAAUGAUGUUUUGUUUAAAUAAUCAACCUAGAUAUAUAUUUUGGUUUGGAAAUGAAGUAAAUUGUGAUGUGGUUAUGAAUUAUA